CUCGCCAACCAUCGUUCCCGAUUCAACAACAUACAUAUAUAAUCUUAAACAACUCUUAGCGGUGGAUACCUCGGUUCUCGCAACGAUGAAGAACGCAGCCAGCUGCGAUACGUAAUGGGAAACGCAGGCCUUCGUGAAACAUCAAGACUUUGAACGCAAGUUGC
rnacentral:rRNA from 1 species